UUCUCUCUCCUUUUUCCCAUUAUGCUCUCUCUCUCUUCCUUCUUUUCCCUUUCUUCAUCUCCUUCUUUGUUAUUUCUUUUCCCAAAUCCUUCUAUUUCUUCACUCUCUUCUCUCAGAUCUCACUCUCUCUACCUUUCUCUUUCUAUUCUUCUUUCCUGGAUCUACUCUUUCACCACUUUCUUAUCUCUCGCAAACUCUUUCUCUUUGAUUUUUUUUUCUUUUCUUUGAUUUUAUUUCACUUCUCUUUCUUGAUGUUUUCCUCAAAUUUCUAUUUUCUUUUUCUGAUUUUCUCUAAUUUCUUAUUUUUUUCCCCCACGGAUUUCUCACUCUCUUAUUUCUUUCUUUCCUUGCAGUUUGAUUGAAGGGUCAAUGCCAUACAAGCACAAACACUGUGUCUCCUCCCAUAUCCAAGAACCAUAUUAAUGUAAAGGAUCAUGAUUUAGAAUGCACAAACAAAGAUCUUGAUAUGGAAGCCACGAGGAACCUAAAGUACAUAUCACUUGACUCAAUCCAUGGAUCUAGAAGAAUAAAAGGAUGGAGAAGCAAGCUUCAAGUUCGAGAUCGUCAAUGGGAAUGGGUAUUUAGAAUUAAAUGUAUUUACAUGUCAUAUGAUAUAUUUUGAAGUUCAAAUAUACCUUAGGACUCCUGCAUUCAUGAAAAAUUCAUUUACAUUAGUCCAGGUUGAAUAAAUUUUUCGAGGCAAAUUUUAGAGGCCUCGUCA